AACGAACGCUGGCGGCGUGCCUAAUACAUGCAAGUCGAACGAGAGGAUGGGGUAACCCAUUAGUAAAGUGGCAGACGGGUGAGUAAUACAUAAGUAACUUACCUUUUAGUUGGGGAUAACCUUCCGAAAGGAGGGCUAAUACCGAAUAAGACCACAAGAACUACGGUUCUAGGGGUUAAAGGUGGCUUCGGCUAUCGCUAAAAGAUGGGCUUAUGCACCAUCAGGUAGUUGGUAAGGUAACGGCUUACCAAGCCUAUGACGGUUAACUGAUCUGAGAGGUUGAUCAGUCACACUGGAACUGAGACACGGUCCAGACUCCUACGGGAGGCAGCAGUAGGGAAUAUUGCGCAAUGGAGGAAACUCUGACGCAGCGACGCCGCGUGGGUGAUGAAGGCUUUCGGGUCGUAAAGCCCUGUCGGAGGAGAAGAAAACGGUAUGGCUAAUAUCCAUACCGCUUGACGGUAUCCUUAAAGGAAGCACCGGCUAACUACGUGCCAGCAGCCGCGGUAAGGUCGUCAUGU
rnacentral:rRNA from 1 species